rnacentral:rRNA from 1 species
GAUGAACGCUAGCUACAGGCUUAACACAUGCAAGUCGAGGGGUAACGAGAGGAAAGCUUGCUUUCCUUGUCGACGACCGGCGCACGGGUGAGUAACGCGUAUCCAACCUGCCCCCAACUAGGGAAUAACCUUGCGAAAGUAAGACUAAUACCCUAUAACUUCCUCAGAUGCCAUCUGACGAGGAAUAAAGAUUUAUCGGUUGUGGAUGGGGAUGCGUCUGAUUAGCUUGUUGGCGGGGUAACGGCCCACCAAGGCAACGAUCAGCAGGGGUUCUGAGAGGAAGGUCCCCCACAUUGGAACUGAGACACGGUCCAAACUCCUACGGGAGGCAGCAGUGAGGAAUAUUGGUCAAUGGGCGGAAGCCUGAACCAGCCAAGUAGCGUGCAGGAUGACGGCCCUAUGGGUUGUAAACUGCUUUUAUACAGGAAUAAAGUUAGCCACGUGUGGUUAUUUGUAGGUACUGUAUGAAUAAGGACCGGCUAAUUCCGUGCCAGCCGCCGCGGUAAAAC